rnacentral:lncRNA from 1 species
GGAAAAAUGCUGGGACUUUUAUGAACUUUGUCUUAAGUGUUGACAGAAGAAAAAUCUAGAAGGCUAAAGCAUUUUACAGUAAAGUUAUUGAAUUGAGAAAAAAACUUGCUGCAUUAUAGAGAAUGCAGGGUUUUUUUCUUGCAGAAUGCAGAUUUUUUUAUUUACAAAGCGUGAUCGCUAGCAAAAGCAUUAGUGCUUUUUAUCUGCAGUCUUUUUUAUGAGCUUUAAGAAGUUUUUAGUCUGCUUUGCUUGUCACAUUGCAAAAACCUAGCUUAAGAGCAUUAAAAAAACUUAAGUAGAUAGGAGCUUAUGGUCAAAAAAAGUGCAAAAAAAGCAAUAGAUAGAAGAAAUUGUUGACAAUUUCUGUAGUCUUUCCUAGUUGUGAACAAAUGCAGCCUAUGGAUGGCCUAUUUUAUACCAAAGAUGAAGUGACACCCUAACGCAGUCCAGAAGAUAGAGGAUUUUUUUCUUUUUUUAUCUUUAUUUGACCUACAUGGCCGGACCAGUUCUUACUUUCUUGUUUGUUUAAACUAUCUUCCACUGGUGUUUUACAUACUGCAUAUGUUUAUAGUGGAAAUUUCAGAAUAGUUGGUGUUAGAAGCUUGUUGAUGGUGUGCUUUGGAGAACAUCCCAAAGUAAAGGGGAGUGGGUUACCAACUAAUCUGUCCAGGUGGGCUUUAAUUUUGAUGAGUUUUUCUGUUAAAUUGCCUGAUCUUUGGUAUUUCUACUGAAACAACAGUCUUCCUUCUGAAUUCCGACAUACUGCAGAUUCAUUUCUUCACCUCAGUCUUUAUCAUCGUGCAGCAUGCAUAGCCACCUUAAUUCUGCAUUUGUUUUUCAGUGAUGCAUUUGAAUUGCCAGAUAGAGGCAAGAGAAAGCAAACUUGAUCUUUGAUCUCAUUUUAGCUCUCCCAUACAAGCAGAAAUGUUGAAAAUGAUGUAGUAUUGUCAUGCAGACAGGAAGCUAAAAAUUAUUCUUCUCUGCUAUGAUUUCUGUUGUCUUAAUAUGUUGGCUGACAAUCACUAAUUAGUAUGAUUAGGCAAAAAAAGACACUAAAUUGAAUCCACUGAAACCUGUUUGAGGAAUGACAAUUAUUUUCCAUAGGGAAAUCUUGGUUAUGGCCCUCACUUUUUCGAAAUAGAUGAAUGAAAAAAGGUGAGAAGCAAGUCAAAAGAUGAUUUUUUUCCUUAAGGAGGCAGAAGAGAAGCAGCACUCAAAUGUAUGCAUACAUACACAUAUAUCUAUACUCAAAAAAUUAAACCAAACUUUUUUGAAUUUUCCCCCUACCAGAAGAGAGGGGAAGCUUCAUCACAUUUAUUGUGGUGCAUUAGAGACAGGGUAUCCGUUAAAAAUAAUGAAAUUAAAACAUAAGUAUUGGAUCAGAUUCAGCUGCCCAAUUCUAAAGAGAGAUCUAUGUUGCCCUAACCUGACUUUUUUGGGGAAAAGAACACAAUAUUUUUUUAAAUUGAUAAAACAAGAUCGUAUUUUUUAACAUGGGGGGAGGGAAGGGGUUUCCCAAGUAAAUGGCUGCUAGAUAUGCAACAUAGAAAAGAGAGAAAUGGGGGUUCAAAUGGUUGUCCACCGGAGGAAGAGGGCCUGAUUUUCAGAAGUGGUAAAACUUCUGCUUUCUCCAGAGUAGUUGUUGAUAUUCAACACUUCUGAAAACCAGAUGAUGCCAAAGUAAAAGAAAAACAACGUCCACAACAUGUUUUCAAUUCAGAAAAGAAAAAAUCCUUCCGUUUCACACGCUGUCUCAUUACUUGUUGCUUUUUGAGAGUGGCACUUGAAUUUUGUCUUUGGAUAAAGGUUCCCUCUUUCUUUGGAGGGCAAAUGAGGGAAAAAAAAAUAUCGAUCUAGCCUUAUUUUCUUCCUUUCUACAUGUAUUCUCUUUCUGUGUCUCUGAAUUCUUUGUACAAAGAUAUAACCCCAGGCACAAGUCAGUUAAAUAUGAAAUAAACACAUUUGUUUCUCUGUUAGUUCUAAUGUGACACACACAAAGUCUCAUUUACUAUCAACAAUGAGGCUACAAGGUAGCUACCAUGUGGCUGAUGAAUAUGCUGAGGUACCUUCUUGUUUCUAUUCAGAACUCUGCUGCUUUAUUUAUACAUUCAGAAACUUUUUUCUCAUUUUUUUCAGCAAAGUUAAACAAUCUCAGUGUUUUUUAUUAAGCCAGACAGGCAAUAUGAUAACAUGAUGCCUGUCACUUUAAAGUGUUUCAAGUGCAUUCUGUAUUAGAACUGUUCCCUUAUUUUUCCAUGCUAUAAUGUUCAAUAGUGUUCGAAAUCAAAAGAAACAAAGCAAAGAAGUAGAGGAAGAAGAGGAGGAAAGAAAAUGGAUCACUUAAAUACAACUGAUCAUGUUACUGAUCCCCCCAAAAAACAGUGAACUGGUACUUGAAAUUCUGUGAAUUGUAAUCAAUGAGGACCUUGAAUAUAAACAGUCAUAGAUCAUAAGGUAAGAAAAAAAACUUAUUUGGAACAUACGAAAUGAUCAGAAAGUGUAACUUAUUUGUAAAAGUUAAAGAUGAGAUAAAAGAGUACAGUGGAAAAGCAAGACACUUGCUGCAUGAGUGUUGUCAUAGGACAGGAAUACUUGGUGGCCUCUGAAAUCUGAAACUGGUUUUCUUUGUAUUCUGGAUAAUAAGAUUUUUUUGAAGGUUUUUUAUUGUUAUUAUUAUCUGUUUGAGUUUCUGGUUUCCUUUUUUUUUUUUUUUUUUCCUUUUUUUGAAGACCUGAAUUUGUAAAGUCAAUAUCUAUGUCUGUCUUACCAAUUUAGCUUUAAAUAUCAGGAGAGUUCCUGAAAGGUUGCAGAAACAACUGUAGAAGUCUAAGGCAAUGGUGCCUGGCCCAGAGGUCUAGAAGUAACAUUAAAUCCAUAAGCUGAACUGCGUAUGUACUUUCCAUCACACCUGAAUUCUUGUAAAUAGUCAAACCUGGAUGUUCAGGUUUGGUAUUUUUGAUUUUACCUGAAAAGAAAAAUACAGAAGGGGUGUCAUAAAAUGAUGAAUUAUGGCUAGAAAAUUCUGAAUACCUGGGCUCGUCACUUAACAUUGAGGAAAAAAAAAUGAUACAGUGGAACUGAAGAGAGUGUUAUAUUUGCAGGUGCUGACCCGAGUGUAGAUCAGGGCACUGAGAAGUCUGUUCCCAGUGAGAUCGCUGAGGGACUCUUCUUCCUAUCUGGCUCUACUGCUGGUUUUGUAAGCACUUUUGACCUGUGACAGUCAGGCCUCAAAUUGUGAAUGUCCUCUUACUGCCUUCCAGUGAAACAGACUCUUGAAAUGUCCUUAGCUUGUGCUUACUUGUAUAGUUCUGUUUACCAAGAGACUGCCUUGGUUGUGUUGGUCAAGAAAUGCACUGUAAUGCAGAAUGAGGCAUAUCUGAGAGCAAUUGCAUCGCAUUGUAUCAUCUUCUGCUAUGGAUGCAUGCCAAACUGUGGAAGAUAAAGGCUGGUGAUUAGAGAAGUGAGGGCUUAAACUUUCAAUGGGCAAUGGGCUGGAGCAUUCAAAUGGAUUUUUACUCAAGUAAAAAUCAAAUGAAGGGGUUUAUUUAUGUAUGUAUGUGUACCAAAACUCAGCAAAUUUGAGGAAGCCUGCAUUGUAAUAAAGUUUAUUUUUAAUAUGUCAUAGUAUUUGGAUCUAUAUUAUGUUGUUUAUGGUACUGAAGGAUAAGACUGAUACUAAGUGUUUAACAAACUGCCAUGCUUCAUGACUUUAAGCUUGAUGGUGCUCCUCAUGCCACUUCAUUUUAAUGCUGAGGUUGACAUGAGCAAAACAGGUUUAGGCAUACUGGCUGAACUCCACCUAUAGCAAGAGUCAUGCUAAAAAGCGAUAAUGUGCUUAAAGUAAUGAAUCAAUCCAUUUGUAGUGAUGAGACCAAAUGUGGUAGUUGAAGAUAGUAAUGUUUGAUACACACAUGGUCAACAUUUCCUUUCAAAACUUUAUUUAACAUGAAAUUGGUCCAGAUAGAAAAGAAGUGCCCGAGGGUAAGGAAUUUUCCUGGUCGUUCUUGGUAGCCCACAUGAACUAAGAAACGGUCAUGGUGUGAUGGAAAUGCAAAACAGAAAACAACAAAGAUGCUGACAUUUGGUGUUUUAGUCUUUUCUGUUUAAUGACAAUUGACUCUAGUAACAAAGAUACCUUUCUUUUCUGAUACACAUACACGCAAUCAUACACACACACUUUCUCAGAAGGAGGGCUGAGUGAGCAGCAGACUUCUCCUCUCCCUCAGUGGAGCAGAUUUCUAGAAUCUCAGCAA